UUUUUUUUGUUUUUUUUUUUUUUUUGGUCUUUUAUAGGGCCGCACCCACAGCAUGCAGAGGUUCCCAGGCUGGGUGUCUAAUCGGAGCUGUUGCUGCUGGCCUACACCAGAGCCACGCCAGAUCCGAGCUGCAUCUUCCACCUACACCACAGCUCGUGACAAUGCCAGAUCCUUUACCCACUGAGCGAGGCCAGGGAUCGAACCCGCAACCUCAUGGUUCCUAGUUGGAUUCGUUUCCCCUGCGCCAAGAUGGGAACUCCUGUUUUUUCGUUUUCGCACUGUAUUGAUUUACAAUGUUGUUCCAAUUCUGCUGUACACAGAGGUAGUUAAAACAAUGCUUACUGAUAGCAAUGAGUAAGAGUUUCAGGUGUAACACCUGUGUUUUCCUCUUUUUCUGAACUGGAGGGAAAAAAUUAACACAUUUAUUUAAAAGGAAUAUCUCACAAAAACCUCAUAUAUAAAGACAAAAUAAAAAGAGAUUUUUUAAAAGAGGGUACAAAUGGGAAGAUAAGGGAUACAGAAGACUCAAAGGGAGCCGACUGGCUUUCUAGAGGAUUCACUAGGAAUCCAUCUGUUUACCAAAAUCUUGACGUGUGGCUCCCUAUGGAGAACGAAGCCGGCAAACCGUUUUGAAGAGAUCAUAGCUAGAGAGAGGACAUUGCCCUGAUCAAAGAGAGCUUAGAGAAUAACUGUUUAUUGAUUAAUAAUUGAAAUUAGCAUUCGUUCAUUCGUUCAUUCAUUCAUUCAACGAUUGCUUGCAAAGUCCAUACAAUACACUAAGAACUAUGACACAUUCUGUGGACAUGAAAAUGAACAAAACCUAUUCCUGCUUUCGAAGGGUCACAUGUCUCAGGUGUAAGUCCUCCAGAGGCUGGCAAGUCAGGCACACUGGGGAGGCUGGUCAUUCACAGGACAAUAAGAAACAGUGUCAGAGUAGGAGAAUUCAUGAUCCCCAGCUCCUAAAAUAUUCAUUAGCAGUUCUGUUGUUGUUUUGUUCUGUUUCUGUUUACAAAAAAAUAUGUCUGGGGACUGGCCAGAGGCUACAUUGACUAUAGGCUCUCUGGUGUCCAAUCUCUGGUCUUAACAGUUAUGGAAACAAUUGAAGGUUAUGUAAACGUUUCUAUAGGAUAAAGGAAACUUGAAUGCUCUGAAUUCAUUCAUAAGUGGGAUCCUCAAAGAAGUGAUCCCUCAGUGAUAAAGACCUUCCCCAGGUAAAUGGAGAGGAGAUGCCCAGUCAUGGACCCAUGUGUUCUAAAGCCUGAAGGUCAGGAAAGAUCCUGGAGCAUGGACAGCAUGCAAGAGCUCUCCUGUGUCCAGAACACUGAGUCUCAGGGAAAAUGAAAAACGAGGCUACAGGGUUCAGCUUUUCAGCAAGGUUGUGUCCAUGCCUGUGUGCUUUCUGCUUCAACAGUUUAAUUUCAAACGUAACACAUUUAACAAUAAGCACUAAAACAAAGGAAGCCAAGGUACACCUUACAAUGCUGGGUUCAGGCCUGCAACUCACUGCUGUCUCGAGAUUUUCUUCUGCUGGCUAAGCUUCUUAUGUUUGGCAGAAAACAACCUUGUCAAAUGUAAGCUUGAUUCUAACAGGAAAAAUUAAGACACUCUAGUUCCUGUUAUUUACUACAAAGAUGCCGAAAUCCAGAUAUGUGCUUACCUGACAAUGCAGGCGGAGAAACUCCUUAGGUUUUCCUAUGAAAUUCACUAUUUAGGUUGAGCACAUUAAUAAAACUGAUAGGAAUCAAAAUGAAACUGGCGAGACAAGGGAAAAAAGGGCAAGAUAUUCCCCUGACUAGAUUUCUACUCUUUGUUUUCUAUUUAUCUAUCCCAAUUUACACUCCAAAGAUCAGAAGCUCUCUGAGGGCACAGCCAAUUUCCAAUCCUUCUUUCUACCCUCUAGAAUGUAUUGAAUAAUAAUAACACCUGAAGUGUACUCCUUACAUGAGCUCAACCAAUAGUUAGUCAAAUGAAUUGAACAUUUUGUUAUUAUCCAUUGCUGCAUAAUAAAUUGUACCCAAAAUUAAUAGCUUGAAACAAUAAAUAUUUAUCAUUGCACAAUUUCUGUAGGUUAGAGAUCCGAGUAUGGCUUGGCUAGUGAGAGCAGAUCAGAGUCUCCCCUAAGGCUGCAGUCAAAGUGUUGGCUGGGCCUGUAGUCAUCUCAAGGCUCAACCGGGAGGACCUCCACCCAAAUCCAUUCAUUUGGUGUCCUCAAGCGUCCCCUCCCAAGCUCAAACAUAUGGGCCCCACCACGGUGCUGCCAUGCAAUCUGUGCACUGGCUUCCCCAGAGCAAGUAAUCCACUAGGGAAUGUGGGAGAACACCCGACAUCAAAGCCACAGUUUUCUCCCAAGGCAAGAGACAUAAAAACAAAAAUAAACAAAUGGGAUCUAAUCAAACUGACAAGCUUUUGCACAGCAAAGGAAAUCAUAAAAAACAAGCCAAAAGACAACUUACAGAAUGGCAGAAAAUAGUAACAAACAAUACAACUGACAAGGGCUUAAUCUCCAAACAACUCAUACAACAAUAAAAAAACAACAAUCCAAUCAAAAAAUAGGAAGAAGACCUAAAUAGACAUACAGAUGGCCAGUAGGCACAUGAAUAAAUGCUCAACAUCACUAAUCAUGAGAGAAAUGCAAGUCAAAACUACAAUGAGGUACCACCUCAUCCCAGUCAGAAUGGCCAUCAUUAAUAAGCCUAUAAACUAAAAAUGCUGGAGAAGGUGUGGAGAAAAGGAAACCCCUCUAUACUACUGCUAGGAAUGUAAAUUGGUAUAACCAUGGUGGCAAACAGUGUGGAGGUUCCUCAGAAAACUAAAUAUAGAGAUACUAUAUGAUCUUGCAAUCCUACUCCUGGGCAUGUAUCAGGAUGAAACUACAAUUCAAAAAGAUACAUGCAGUCAUGUGUUCAUAGCAGCACUACUCACAAUAGCCAAGACCUGGAAUACAACUGGAAACAACCCAAAUGUCCAUCAACAGAAGAACGGAUUAAGGAGAUGUUGUGCAUAUACACAAGGGAAUGCUACUCAGGCAUAAAAAAAAAGAAGGAAAUAAUGCCAUCUGCAGCAACAUGGAUGCAACUAGAGAUUAUCAUAUUAAGUGAAAUAAGUCAGAAAGCGAAAGACAAAUACCAUAUGCUAUCACUUAUAUGUGGAAUCUAAAAUAUGGCACAGAUGAACCUAUUUACAAAACAGAAAUAGACUCAGAGACAUAGGGAGCAGACUUGCGGUUCCCAAGGGGGAGGGGGAAGGGAAUGGAAUAGAUUGGGAGUUUGUGGUUAGUAGAUGCAAACUCUUCUAUUUAGAAUGGAUUGGCAAUGAGGUCCCACUGCAUAGUGCAGGGAACUGUGUCCAAUCUUUUGGGAUAGAAUAAGAUGGGGUACAAUAUGUGAAAAAGAAUAUCUAUAUCUAUAUCUAUCUAUAUAUAGAUAGAUAGAUAUACCUGGGUUACUUCCCUGUACAGCAGAAAUUGGCACAACAUGGUAAAUCAAUUAUAUUUUAACUUGAAAAUUUUUAAAAAGAAAGAAAAGCUACAGUUUUUUAUAACCUAAUCUCAGAAAUGACAAUUCCUUAUUUCUGCCAUAUUCCAUCAGUUACAAGUAAGUCAAUAACUCCAGCCCACACUCAAGGGCAAGAGACACCAAGGAAACACCAAGGAAUGGGGGUCACGGUGGGCCAUGUUUGAGGUUGCUUGCCAUAAACACCUUAAAGAAAAACUAGAAAAUAGGGGACACGGCUACUCUGGAUAAAAGCAGGAUACUCUUACUGAGGAAUAAGCUGACGGUGGAUAUGGGAGAGUAAAUUGCUGUAGAUCGAGCUGUUUUGCAGAGGUACUUUACCUCAUGACUUCUAAAAUCAUCAGUAAAAUCAACCUGAACAAGACAAAGGUGCUAAUGGAUUUUUUGGAGUGGAAAUCAAUGAAACAACUGACUAUGUUUUCAGAGUAUGGAAGCAAGUCAGAUAAGAUAACACAGAAGCAGAGGCAGAAGGAAGAAAAAGGCAGCAUAUCCUAGGGAAUCACAGAAGCUUGGGGGUUCUGUAGGGUAUCACACAGCUGUGUUAUGUGAGUUGAACCAGAUCUGAGGAGCAUAGAGAUUUCCAAUAUUUUCUUAAGUGCAUAUUUAUUUGUGAGAUUCCAUUUCCAUGACCAUUGCUUCUGUAAACUGAAGGCUCCAGGAUGUAAUGGGCUCUACUUCAUUAACUAAUUCAAAGGACUUGAGAAUUAGAUUUUUGGAGAAGAAAAAGAAAAAGAAGCAAGGAUGUCCUUGUUUUUUUCUAGCUCUUAGAACACUUAAUGGCACCAAGGAGAUCCUUUUUUUUUUUAGUGGACUAAAAGAGGAAGAAAAGAACGUGUUUACAUAUCUUGUCUCUGCACUGCAGUGAUCUAUUGUUACAUGACUGCCUUCCCUUCUGGAGGAAGUAGCUGAAGGCUAUUGCAUUAGACACCAGCACCUUCCAACCACAACACACAUUGCCUCCUGACAAAUUGCACAGAAACCUAUACAGGACUUGGCAUAAUAGGCUUACUCAAAAGGAUGAUUUGCAGCCCAAUCAUCCUCUCACAG
rnacentral:lncRNA from 1 species